rnacentral:rRNA from 1 species
AUUGAACGCUGGCGGCAGGCUUAACACAUGCAAGUCGAGCGGGCGAGGUUGCUUCGGUAACUGAGCUAGCGGCGGACGGGUGAGUAAUGCUUAGGAAUCUGCCUAUUAGUGGGGGACAACAUUCCGAAAGGGAUGCUAAUACCGCAUACGUCCUACGGGAGAAAGCAGGGGCUCUUUAUGACCUUGCGCUAAUAGAUGAGCCUAAGUCGGAUUAGCUAGUUGGUGGGGUAAAGGCCUACCAAGGCGACGAUCUGUAGCGGGUCGGAGAGGAUGAUCCGCCACACUGGGACUGAGACACGGCCCAGACUCCUACGGGAGGCAGCAGUGGGGAAUAUUGGACAAUGGGGGGAACCCUGAUCCAGCCAUGCCGCGUGUGUGAAAAAGGCCUUUUGGUUGUAAAGCACUUUAAGCGAGGAGGAGGCUUACCUGGUUAAUACCUAGGAUAAGUGGACGUUACUCGCAGAAUAAGCACCGGCUAACUCUGUGCCAGCCGCCGCGGUAACAC